GGAUGUCCAUUUUGGAAUGUGUGUAAUGGACUGCCGGCGACAGUGGUGGAGGAGGAUACGAUGGGAUCUUUUAAGAGACUCCUGGACAGAUGCACGCUUUAUUUUAACUUGAAUGUCUUGCUGCACUUCAAAAGCAAAUUAGAGUGUUGCUUUGAAUCCUUUUAUAUCGGAAGUGAAACACAUACAAGAGCUAACAGAGAUCCAUCCAGUGGGUAGUCACUGAACUGAAUUACAAUCCUAAAGCAACCCAUGCUCACU